GACGAACGCUGGCGCCGUGCUUAACACAUGCAAGUCGAACGGUAAGGCCCUUCGGGGUACACGAGUGGCGAACGGGUGAGUAACACGUGGGUGAUCUGCCCUGCACUUCGGGAUAAGCCUGGGCAACUGGGUCUAAUACCGGAUAGGACCACUUCCUGCAUGGGGGGUGGUGGAAAGCUUUUGCGGUGUGGGUUUGGCCGGGGGCUUAUCAUAUUGUUGGGGGGGUUAUGGCCUACCAAGGCGACGACUGGUAGACGGCCUGAGAGGAUGACCGGCCACACUGUGAUCGAGAUACGGCCCAGACUCGUACGGGAGGCAGCAGUGGGGAAUAUUGCACAAUGGGCGCAAGCCUGAUGCAGCGACGCCGCGUGAGGGAUGACGGCCUUCGGGUUGUAAACCUCUUUCAGCACCGACGAAGCGCAAGUGACGGUAGGUGCAGAAGAAGGACCGGCCAACUACGUGCCAGCCGCCGCCGUAA
rnacentral:rRNA from 1 species